rnacentral:rRNA from 1 species
GACGUAGGGGGCAAGCGUUGUUCGGAGUUACUGGGCGUAAAGGGUGCGUAGGCGGCUUUUUAAGUUUGGUGUGAAAUCUCCCGGCUCAACUGGGAGGGUGCGCCGAAUACUGAGAGGCUAGAGUGUGGGAGAGGAAAGUGGAAUUCCUGGUGUAGCGGUGAAAUGCGUAGAUAUCAGGAGGAACACCGGUGGUGUAAACGGCUUUCUGGACCAUAACUGACGCUGAGGCACGAAAGCGUGGGUAGCAAACAGG